rnacentral:lncRNA from 1 species
AAAACGCAAAUCCUUUUCAGCAGACCUUUCUGACCUCUCCUCAACAGCGACUGGUAACUUUAUUAUUCUGUAAAUUUUCAUGAUUUUAAUUCAGCAAAACAAAAGCUAUUGCUUCUAUUUUAUUCUUCAUUUAUCCUAUACAGAAAUGCAACAAAUCCAAUCGCAUACAAAACCACAACAGAUAGGCAUCUCAAAUUCUCAAUUCUUAUUAUUUAAAUCCAAAUACCCAACACUUUGACCCACGCAUAAUCUAAUGCCUACAGGAAUAAUUCUUCUUAUCUAAAACAAAUAAAAUGAAAUUAGAUACAUAGAGAGGGAUUAGAGACAAAAUUGGCUGCUGGCGAAGAGUAGGCAGGGGAAGCGCCACAACGCCGCUGCUGUCACGGCGGUGCUGUUGCUGUGCAUUGUCGUCCGAGAGAUGAAGGCGCAACGGCGGUUGCUCGCCGGAGGCGGCGGCAGUUCCGAGAGAGCGGACGAGAGAGAAGAGAGUGAUGAGGGUUCUAUGGGUAAUGUGUGCGUGCGUGCGUGCGUGAGUUUUUUUGUGUGUGAAUGGGCUCAAGUCUUGGGCUCAACCAUUGGACCUUAAUUAAACUGAUGGAUUGGCUUAAUCUAUUUAGUUAAGGGCCCAAGCUUUAAAUUCAUUUAUUUGAGCUUUUGUAAUUAACUAAUAAACAAAUAUUGGACUCUAAGUUAUUGCAGAAUCCCUAUAAGAAAAAUUUGUACGUAUGAGUAUUUUAUUUUAUUUCAUUUACUGGGUCAAUGAUAUUAAAAAUUUUAUAAAGAAUUUACAAAAAAUUACUCAGUUUUAAUUUAAUUAUUUAUUAGGCCGAAGCGGGCGCUAUUAAUACGUGGAUUUUGAUUAGAAUUUACUAGUAUUAGCC